ACGAACGCUGGCGGCAUGCCUAACACAUGCAAGUCGAACGCGACCUUCGGGUCUAGUGGCGCACGGGUGCGUAACGCGUGGGAACCUGCCCUUAGGUUCGGAAUAACUCCCCGAAAGGGGUGCUAAUACCGGAUAAUGUCUUCGGACCAAAGAUUUAUCGCCUUUGGAUGGGCCCGCGUUGGAUUAGCUAGUUGGUAGGGUAAAAGCCUACCAAGGCGACGAUCCAUAGCUGGUCUGAGAGGAUGAUCAGCCACACUGGGACUGAGACACGGCCCAGACUCCUACGGGAGGCAGCAGUGGGGAAUAUUGGACAAUGGGCGAAAGCCUGAUCCAGCAAUGCCGCGUGAGUGAUGAAGGCCUUAGGGUUGUAAAGCUCUUUUACCCGGGAUGAUAAUGACAGUACCGGGAGAAUAAGCGCCGGCUAACUCCGUG
rnacentral:rRNA from 1 species